rnacentral:rRNA from 1 species
UACAGAGGGUGCGAGCGUUAAUCGGAUUUACUGGGCGUAAAGGGCGCGUAGGUGGUUAUAUGUGUGUGAUGUGAAAGCCCCGGGCUCAACCUGGGAAGUGCAUCGCAAACUAUAUAACUAGAGUAUAUGAGAGGGUGGCGGAAUUUCCGGUGGAGCGGUGAAAUGCGUAGAGAUCGGAAAGAACACCAACGGCGAAAGCACUCUGCUGGGCCGACACUGACACUGAGAGACGAAAGCUAGGGGAGCGAAUGGG